ACUCAACAGAUAUAUUUUUGUAAAGAGUGAAUCUGGAUUGUAAAAGCGCGCCGUCUUCGUCACGGAUUCUUGAUCAGUCCUCUAGCUCUAAUCCUUUUAUUUAGGAGUUU
rnacentral:sRNA from 1 species